rnacentral:lncRNA from 1 species
UAUUCCCCCUAAAUGUCCCAUCCAAUCUCACCACCUUUUGUCUCCCUCUCUCACCUACCUUAUCUCUCCAUGUAGGGAGAUACAAUAUAAUACUAGCAACUAUGGUUGGCUUAACAAGUUUUGGUACACUGAUGACUGAGUUUUCUUUCACUUUUGUGACUUUUUUUUGUUUUUUCACUUGACUUUUUACUCUUUUUCUCAAUCAUAGUGCUUUUAUUUUUGUUCUUUACUUUUUCUACUCGUUUUUACCUUUGACUUUUUUUCUUGAUUUUUUUUCCUUUUUAGCACAUUAUUGCCUGACCUAUAAUCAUUGUAUCACAUUAUUUCUUCCUUUGUCACUCAUUUUUUUGUUUGAAACCACUGUGAUGUAUCUAUCUAAACCCUCAAUAUCUAUGGUCUGACGUCCAUUUCAUAAUGUAUUAAAGGACCAAG